AGAAAGGAGUGUGUAUUCCAUCGGAAGGAUUUUUUACUGUCCGGCUAUUCAAGUUCUUCAACAAUUUGGAUUUUGACACUCUUGCGGAGACCAUGAAGACUAACCUCGUCAUGACUGUCGUCUUUCUGACAGCACUGUUCUGGAUCCCAAUCAGCUGCUGCAUUUCCUGCAUGGACAGGAAAAACAAAAAACCCGCACCUAAGAAAGCGAUGGCACGUGAAGAACGAACCACUGUAAUAACUUCUUCGUUCGAUGAUUCCAUGCUUUAUGAAAUGAGGAAUAUGGAUCGGGAAGGAUCUUCAGUCGAUCCGUUCGCACUACCGUAAAGUCCAACGCCUUCCAAACGCCAAUGACGGGAUGUGGACAAGAAUAAAAUAAGUCCAUCAGUACUGUAAGAAACAGUAUUAACACGAAAUAUUUCAAAGUCUGGCCUAACACCGACAGACUAAAUAAGACCUAAAAUAUAUUUUGUCUUAUCUGAUCAAAGACUAUUACUUUAUAAAAUAUCACAAGCACACACCGAAGAAUAUAACAUUUCUUAAAUUACAUAUUUACGAUUGUUUCUAUAACUUAACACUGUCUUAAAGAAUCAAAUUAAAUCCAAUGCUUUUAAACAAGCAGCUAGGAAACAUGUACUGACAAGGCUGUUUUUGUGCACAGCGUUUCUACGAAAUGGAUUAUCUAAAUAGGUUUAAUGCCUUUAAGUAUUAGUUCGUUUCAAUUUGACUUGUUUCGUUGGACUGUAUUUAAAAACAAUUCUAGCUAGUGUUCGUACACAUGGCGCUGGACACUGAACUGUUUCAAAGUAAGAAGUAUAUAUAUAUUACCACAGACAGAUAACAAAACUACAUUUUCAAUAUGAACAAUUAGCACAUUGACAAUGUAUUUUAAAUUCGUUAUUUCGCAGUUUAGACGGAUUUAAAAAGUUUUUAAC